rnacentral:rRNA from 1 species
GGCUCAGGAUGAACGCUAGCGGCAGGCUUAAUACAUGCAAGUCGAGGGGCAGCACGAAUAGCAAUAUUUGGUGGCGACCGGCGCACGGGUGCGUAACACGUAUACAACCUACCUAUAACAGGGGGAUAGCCUUUCGAAAGAGAGAUUAAUACCCCGUAAUAAAUUGAGUGGCAUCACUUGAUUUUGAAAGCUACGGCGGUUAUAGAUGGGUAUGCGUCUGAUUAGCUAGUUGGUGAGGUAACGGCUCACCAAGGCGACGAUCAGUAGGGGGAUCUGAGAGGACUAACCCCCCACACUGGUACUGAGACACGGACCAGACUCCUACGGGAGGCAGCAGUAAGGAAUAUUGGUCAAUGGAGGCAACUCUGAACCAGCCAUGCCGCGUGCAGGAUGACGGCCCUAUGGGUUGUAAACUGCUUUUGUACCAGAGAAAACCUACUCACGUGUGAGUAGCUGAUAGUAUGGUAAGAAUAAGCAUCGGCUAACUUCGUG